GACGAACGCUGGCGGCGUGCCUAAUGCAUGCAAGUCGAACGCAGCGGCCGAGUGCCGGCUGCGUGGCGAACGGCUGAGGAACACGUGGGUAACCACCCCCGGAGUGGGGGAUACCCCGUCGAAAGACGGGACAAUCCCGCAUACGCUCUACGGAGGAAAGCCGCAAGGCGCUCCGGGACGGGCCUGCGGCCCAUCAGGUAGUUGGUGUGGUAAUGGCGCACCAAGCCAGUGACGGGUACCCGGUCUGAGAGGACGGCCGGGCAGACUGGGACUGCGACACGGCCCAGACUCCUACGGGAGGCAGCAGCAAGGAAUUUUCCCCAAUGGGCGCACGCCUGAGGGAGCAACGCCGCGUGGAGGACGACGGCCUUUCGGGUUGUAAACUCCUUUCGGGUGGGACGAAACUGACGGUACCACCAGAAGCAGCCCCGGCUAACUCUGUGCCAGCAGCCGCGGUAAGACAGAGGGGGCAAGCGUUGUCCGGAGUUACUGGGCGUAAAGGGCGCGGAGGCGGUCUGCUGCGUCGGCGCUGAAAGCGCCCCGCUUAACGGGGCGAGGCGCGCCGAUACGAGCAGGCUGGAGGCGAGCAGAGGGUGGUGGAAUUCCGGGUGGAGCGGUGAAAUGCGUAGAGAUCCGGAGGAACGCCGGUGGAGCAGUCGGCCACCUGGGCUCGACCUGACGCUGCGGCGCGACCGCGUGGGGAGCAAACCGGAUUAGAUACCCGGGUAGUCCACGCCGUAAACGAUGCCGGCUCGGCGUUUGGCGCGCGUGAGCGUGCUGGGCGCCUUAGCUAACGCGGUAAGCCGGCCGCCUGGGGACUACGAGCGCAAGCUUA
rnacentral:rRNA from 1 species